rnacentral:lncRNA from 1 species
CGGCUCGGUCACCUACUCUGGAGGGAAAUGUUUUUCACACAUUGAGUUUAGAAAUCGCCUGAUGAAGGUACUCCUUGUAUCCGAAACGUCGCGAAUUAGUUUCUUUAAAAUAAAGAAACCUAUCUCUAUUGACCAUCUCGCCUUUUUUCUGAGUUUUUGAACAUCAUGCUAGCUUAGCAUAACUAGCCUACUACCAUGAGCGGCCAUCGAGGGUAACACUCCUGGCCGACGAUCCAGCAUGGAAGGUUCCGUACGGGUUACCGGAACCCUACCCUCCCACCGAUGAGCCAACGUGAUGUCCACCUGCCGCAGUCCCAACCCCACCGCAUGGAACGCAACUGCCCGACGGCGACGGGGAGCUACCGCCGCGGCCGGCUAGCACGUGGUGAUGGACGCCACCACGGCCUCUGGUACCGGAGCUCCGCCCGGACCUCCAGCUGCGUUCGGGCCUGGCGCGGCCGGUCGAUCAUCAGAUGCGGGCGGCCAUCUGAUGUACACGGCCCUUCCCUUGCCUCCACACACCCUACGCAAGUCAACAGAGUACCCGAUUUGCGGGAAGUUCAUGAACCACCUGAGGCCACACCUGACGGGAUAUCACCAAGUGAGGAACGUGGAGGAGACAAUUCUGCUUGUCAGCUGGUCCAGUGGACGGGUUACAGGUAAACUGAACUGCCGUGUUUGUGACAAGGUGGGCCUGUCCCGCCUGGACAGACACCUGGCGGACCUCCACCAACAAAACAACAUGCUACCUUUAUUGAUCCACAUAGGAAAUAUCCAUGACGCAGCAGAACACAAUGGACAUCAAUAAAAGAUCUUUAAUGUACAAAUAUAAAAACAGUGAAAUAAGAAAUAGACAUAGAAUGAAAACUUUUGUUAUACAUCUGGAACUGUCUCCACAUUGUGUUUACAAUUGCCUUAUAAUUGAUUCAAUAUUUGUAUUCAUUAAAAUAAACUUGCAGGAGGUCGAUGAGCUGAUGCUACUCUGCAAGCAGCAGCUUAUUGUGGUGAAGCUUCGGGAGCUGAGGGCAACAAGCCCAACUUUCCCCUGGAGUUAGCAGUCCGUCAGCUGCAGGCCACGCUGUCCCUGCAGCAUGAUAGCAGCAUGAUAGCAGCACUGCUACUCCACAGGCCACCUCUUGUGAUGGAAAAUCUACAUGUUAUUGUUUUGGUCCAUAUGAAUUUAAGUUUUGUUGCUAUUCUGUGUAAUUUUAUAUAGUGUCUGCCUUCUGCUCUCCUUUUGGGUCAUUUAAAGUAACGUUCGAGAGUCGUGUGAUGCAUUUUAUUGCCUGCCUGUUCCUAUCUUUUCGUGUGUCAUCUCCCAAGCAAUGCUUUGAAGUAUGGGCCUGUUCUUUGACACUCUGGCUAGUGUAAACAAAGUCAGAGGGUUACAUGGCACGGCCGCCGACCCCACCUUAGCCUCGGGGGGGGGGGGGGGCUUCAACUGUAAAGAUAACAAUCUGGUGAACAAAGACUUUUAGUAUUGGGGGACCACCCCCUUCAGGACACAACCGAAGUGAAUAAGAACUCAUUGAUUCGAACACUCAGGGGACUUGUCUGAGCGUACCUUCAGAGAAUGAAGCAACACGCAAAGAGGAGCUCCCAUCUGAGGCCUCAGAUUAUUGUAAUGUAUGCCUGUUAUGUUGUUUGUUGAUGCAUGUUGUGAUGUAUCUUUGUUCGUUACUUUUAUUACAAAUAUAUAUACCACUAAUUGUCAACAGUAUUGUGUGCUUUUUGCAUCUAAAUAUCUCAUCUGCUUAGACGCAAUAUCUGAUACAGAAAUUGCCACGACACUCUUCAGCCGCCCUUGCCAGCCCCAGUCCUGGAAUAACACAUAUCCUUGACAGGGAGACCCCGUCACCUAGGUCACCUGCAUCACCCGCCUCACCGCAAGGGUAUACGUGGGACGAGUACCUGAACACUGGGCCGACAGUGGCACAGAGUACACAGCCCCAACCCUCCGUACCGUUUUCCCAUUUAUUCUUCUUGGAAGAGGACCUCCACAGUUUGUCACCCACAUACACGGAGCAUUUAAGGCAUGUCUAAAUUGUCCAAUGUUGCCUUUUUAACAAAAUAAGGAGUUUCAAGGAGCCAGGAGAUGGUUGUUGUUCUGAGAGAUAUUGGCUAAUAUCUCUAAGAUAUUGGCUAAAUGUUCCAAUGUUACAG